CUUCCAUUCACCGCGCGGCGCCCGGAGCUUUCCGGUCCUGCGGGAAGCGAAGCCAAGUCCUCCGUCCCUGGGCUCUACGAAGCCCCCGUUGUUGAAAAAGCCAGUCGGCUAGCAAGUCGGAUUCACCGGGUCUGACAGCUCAUUUGAUGUAUUGCUCGGGAGUGCGCUUAGUUUACCCGCAUUUGGUGACCGUGUUUGAAUCUAAAUGCGCCUCCUCUCUGCCACCCACAGUGUUCGUGUGCGCCGGCAGCUCGCCAUAGCCACCCCGGGGCCGUGGUCCAGCUCUCAGAGCAGCGAUGACUGUGUCCUGAGUGAGCCUCGAGGACACGUCACCCUGCACUUCCUCAUCAGUGAAAGGGGACCCAGCUAGCCCCUCCCAGCUCGGGAACGCGGGGCGUCGCCAAGUCGCUUUCCCACGGCAGGAGGCCCCAGAUUUUCUCUCUUUUUUUGGUAAUAUUUUCAAUUUAUCUUUUUCCUUUGACAAAAUCUGCAAACCCAGAACACCAAUCCAUCAACCAACUUGUCAUUCGGAAAAUUCUGAAAGCAUCGUUUUCUUUUCUUUUUUUAACAUGUGUCCAUUCUUGCACAAAACAAUUUUAAAACAGAAAGGAAUGACUAUUUUUGAACACAUCCUCUGAAAGUGAGUGUAAAUGCAUGAAGCUGAUGUAGUUAGUCGUUUCACAAGGCUUCAGUUUCAGUUUCUGGAACACUCCCAGGUUCAUUGAACUCGGUUUUUUGGUAUAAAGGCUGUAUAAUGAUGGGCAGGAAGUGGCAACAAGGAUGAUUAGCCUUUCUCAGUUCUUAAGGUACAUGUGCUCCCAACCCUCACAAUAAUACCAAGUUCUGCUAGUUUUAUCCUCAGGUUAAUCCAGAACUAACCAGGACAGCCCAGACUAGAUGGUGUCACCCAGGCACAAGCAGCUUCCGCCAGGCACACGCUGUCUGAGCCUUUUUGACAGCAGCCUCCUCAGAUCAAGCUGAUGUUAGAGACGCUGUAGGAGUUUCAUUAAACUUGACAGCAGGGAAAAGUUUGAAGAAGUCUUCUUAACCAGUAAUAUGAAAGCUCCACAGGGAACCCAGCUGACCUCAUCACAGAAGGAUUUUCCCUUCUCCUGGGAAAAAGAUGGAAUGAACACGCUGUUUGCUGUUGUCUAUUUUUGAAGCAAGGUAUGCCAAUGUCAGUGUGCCCUUCCCCAGAAGUGGAGGAGUCUGUACAUCUGCAAAGUCUGCUUAGUGCUCUUUUGGGUAAAAAAAUCAUGCUUUGCUGGCAUUUUAUGUUUCUAUAAAAGAAUAGGAAAAACGUUGCCCCUCGGAGUCCUCGAUGAGGUAAGAAGGCUGUGAUUAGGUAGCAACUGUGAUUAGGUGUCUGUAGAGGAGAAAGAAAUGAACAGGGUUAGAAAGAUACACAUUCCCUACUGGUACCCUUCCAGGGUCUUGACUGAAGGCCAGACAGUCAGAGAGUGAGCCAAGCCAGUUCUGUGGCUCAGAAUAAUUGGGUAAUUGAUUGUAAUUAAGUAGUAAUUAAUAAUGACUUGAAUAAUUAAAGGUUUCCUACCUUCAGGCUGUGGCUGGAUAGGGUGCUGUGCUGAGCCGUAAUGGAACUUGAGGGAUAAGAGAAAACAGUAAUACUUACCCUGUCUUUACUAAAAUUUUUGAUAUUUUGCUCAUAUAUAGAUUUUAACAUGAUUUUUUAAAAAUAGCCCAUUAAAAUAGUACUGAUCUUGAUUACUGAGUUUUUUGGUGUCUCCUUAAAUUUGGCACCUUUCACAAGUGCCUUACUCACCUCCCCCCAGUGCAGGUCUUGAGCCCAGAAGCAAUGUGAUGGGUAUUUGGAUAUUAUUGCUUGGCCUGCCCUUUAAAAGGAACAAAGGGACAGCCAAAUACUUGGGCUGCUCUCUCACUCUUCAUGUCCUCAAAUUUCCAAAUCACUGAUAUCCAAUUACAGUCUGCUCCAGAGUUGAGAGACAGCCCCGUCUUGUGUGUACCAUUAUCACCCCAAUCUAUGGACGAGAGACUUAGGCUCAGUACGCAUGACACAUAUGCCUGAGAAGGAGGCAAGGGAGACCUUGAAGGCAGCCUGGCUGGACUCCAGAGGUUGUGAUCUCAGCUGCGGGGCUGUAAGAAAUUGCCCACCUGCUGUGUGCCCCACCGUUCCGCACGGAAAAAGGUAAGCCAGGUAUUUUCUUCUCACUUAUUAGUCAGUUACAAGUCAUGACAGAAUAGCUCCUAAUAACUUAAUAAGUUGCACUGUCUUUUUCCUCUUACGGAAGCAAUAUGUAAUCACUGAUGAAAUGAGAAAAUACACAUCAAUGAGAGAAAUCAAACUAAAUCAAAAUCCCACCCCAAGAGCCACCUACUAUUAGCAUUUUGUUGCAUCUCUCUCCAAGCUUUAUUUUAAUAAAGAUAAAUUAUAUGUAUAUGAUUUCAAAAUGAAAUCAUAUUCUACACAUGCAUUUUUUAAAAUUCUGCUUUACCAAGAAAAACAAUACACCUUUAGCAUCUUUCUCUGUCAUUGCUAUUGUGCAGAGUAAUUUGUAAUGGCUCCAUAAUAUGUAUUCAUUUGUUCAUGUUACCUACUCUCCAGGCUUAGGUAAGCUGGGCACUGGAGAUACGUCAGUUAACAAAACAAAGAAUUAGGACCCCUAGGGUUGACAUUUAAGUAAAGGGGGCCUUCAAAAAAAUAAAUGAAUAAAGAUGUGUCCGUCAAUAGGAACACUAUUUUGAAUGUAUCAGGGAGUCUUCUCUGAGAAGAGGCUGUUAUGGGCUGAACUGUGCCUCCUCCCCAACCUUCCAAAUUCCUAGAUUGAAGUCCGAACUUCCAGUACCUCAAAAUAUGGUAAUAAGUUAGAAUGUAAUAAGUUAGAAUAAGGUAAUCCAUCAUGGCCGGUGAGUUUUUAAGAAGAGGACGUGUAGACCCCAGCACAUAGAGGGAACACGUAGGGAGAACAGGGCUAUCUAUAGGGUGUCCCAAAAUUCACACAAGAUUUGAAUUUUGCGUGAGCAUUAACAACAACAACAACAAAAAAUAAAAGCCUAAUUUUACUUGGUUUAUUGAAUCAGAUUCU